rnacentral:rRNA from 1 species
UACGUAGGUGACAAGCGUUGUCCGGAUUUACUGGGCGUAAAGCGUGCGCAGGCGGUUCGUUAAGUUCGUUGUGAAAGCCCCGGGCUCAACCUGGGAACUGCAAUGGAAACUGGCGGGCUUGAAUGCGGCAGAGGGGGGUGGAAUUCCGCGUGUAGCAGUGAAAUGCGUAGAGAUGCGGAGGAACACCGAUGGCGAAGGCAGCUCGCUGGGACGGUACUGACGCUGAGGCGCGGAAAGCGUGGGGAGCAAACAGG